rnacentral:lncRNA from 1 species
ACCCACAUCCUGGAGAUUCUGAUGGAUGCUUAAAUGAUACUUCAAUGAAGAGGGAGAAGAAGGCUGACCUCCUGAGAUGGUUCUGAGAAGGCUGAAAAGAAGCACUCAAGGACUGAAUCCUGCCAACAACCAUGUUCAGUUGGAUGUGGAUAUCCUCCGAGCCUUCAGAAAAGACCCUAUCUCCUGAUCUGCGGCCUGUGAGAGACCCCGAGUCAGCUCCGGGUGGAACCGUGCCCAGACUUCAGAGACCAUCUGAGAAGAACGGUGCUUUCCGCUGCCAGGUUUGGUGGGUGAUUUGCCCCCCGGUGGUGGGUAAUGAACUCAGCACAUUAUGGAAAGUUCCAGUUUCCCACCGCACAUCUGCAGGAAGGUUCCAAUCAAGGCUGCAGAGAGGAUUGACAGAGCAGGUGCCUGCAGGUGUGUGAGGCACCCAGGAAGCCAGGGAGAGCAGCUUUGUUACUAAUUUACACCAUACUGGUGAUGAUGGCUGCUCUGGGCCUCAGCAUUUAGGACCCUGCCUGGGCUCGCCUUUAAUGUGCACACAUUCAUUCAGCUCACUCACUCUGCGUCCAGC